AUUGAACGCUGGCGGCAUGCUUUACACAUGCAAGUCGAACGGUAACAGGGUGCUUGCACCGCUGACGAGUGGCGAACGGGUGAGUAAUGCGUCGGAACGUGCCGAGUAGUGGGGGAUAACGCAGCGAAAGUUGUGCUAAUAACGCAUACGUACUGAGGUAGAAAGUGGGGGACCUUCGGGCCUCACGCUAUUCGAGCGGCCGACGUCUGAUUAGCUAGUAGGUGAGGUAAAGGCUCACCUAGGCGACGAUCAGUAGCGGGUCUGAGAGGAUGAUCCGCAAGACUUGGACUGAGACACGGCCCAGACUCCUACGGGAGGCAGCAGUGGGGAAUUUUGGACAAUGGGCGAAAGCCUGAUCCAGCCAUGCCGCGUGUCUGAAGAAGGCCUUCGGGUUGUAAAGGACUUUUGUCAGGGAGGAAAUCCCUAGUGCUAAUAACACUGGGGGAUGACAGUACCUGAAGAAUAAGCACCGGCUAACUACGUGCCAGCCGCCGCCGUAA
rnacentral:rRNA from 1 species